rnacentral:siRNA from 1 species
CUAGGUUUUGCAGCGACCGCC